rnacentral:rRNA from 1 species
AUUGAACGCUGGCGGCAGGCCUAACACAUGCAAGUCGAGCGGAUGAAGGGAGUUUGCUCCUGGAUUCAGCGGCGGACGGGUGAGUAAUGCCUAGGAAUCUGCCUGCUAGAGGGGGAUAACGUCCGGAAAAGGGCGCUAAUACCGCAUCAGACGUGAGGGAGCAAGUGGGGGAUCUUCGGACCUCACGCUAUCAGAUGAGCCUAGGUCGGAUUAGCUAGUUGGUGGGGUAAAGGCCUACCAAGGCGACGAUCCGUAACUGGUCUGAGAGGAUGAUCAGUCACACUGGAACUGGAACACGGUCCAGACUCCUACGGGAGGCAGCAGUGGGGAACAUUGGACGAUGGGCGAAAGCCUGAUCCAGCCAUGCCGCGUGGGUGAAGAAGGUCUUCGGAUUGUAAGGCACUUUAAGUUGGGAUGAAGGGCAGUAAGUUAAUACCUUGCUGUUUUGACGUUACCUACAGAAUAAGCACCGGCUAACUUCGUG